rnacentral:misc_RNA from 1 species
UUUCCGUAGGUGAACCUGCGGAAGGAUCAUUCACGAUCAGUGUUUUUAUGACUCUUUAAUACCCAUAUCCACCUUUUGUGCAAGGUUUUGAGGUCUUUCUAUCAUUUCGCCGGCUGCAGAAUGUUUGUUCUACAGCCGCGGAAGGCAAGCUAAGGCGGCUUUGUACAUGAUAACUGAUGUUCUAUAAUAAAUUUGUCUGAAAUUCUAUUUCGAACUAACUUUCAAAAUAUACACAACUUUCAACAACGGAUCUCUUGGUUCUC